CCUACGGGAGGCUGCAGUCGAGAAUCAUUCACAAUGGGGGAAACCCUGAUGGUGCGACGCCGCGUGUGGGAAUAAAGCUCUUCGGUUUGUAAACCCCUUUCAUGUGGGAGCAAAUGAAAAAGAUAGUACCACAAGAGGAAGAGCCGGCUAACAAUGCGCCAGCAGCCGAGGUAAUACCGAGGGCUGAAGCGUUGUUCGUGAUGGCUUGGCGUAAAUCGUGUGUAGGCAGGUUGGUCAGUCGUGGGUUAAAGGCUCGGGUUCAUCCCGCGGACGGCAGAUGAUACUGCGAGACUAGAGUAAUGGAGAGGGAACCGGAAUUCGCGGUGUAGCGGUGAAAUGCGUAGAUAUCGAGAGGAACACACGUGGCGAAGGCGGGUGCCUGGACAUUAACUGACGCUGAGGCACGAAGGCGAGGGGAGCGAAAGGGAUUAGAUACCCCGGUAGUC
rnacentral:rRNA from 1 species